rnacentral:rRNA from 1 species
CUUAGUGGUCAAAACCUCCUUGUCAAAGCCUGAUCUCGUCAGAUCUCAGAAGCUAAACAAGGCUGGGCCUAGUUAGCAUUUGGAUGGGAAUUCCAGGUGCCAGUAGCA